rnacentral:rRNA from 1 species
UACGUAGGGUGCGAGCGUUAAUCGGAAUUACUUGGCGUAAAGCGUGCGUAGGUGGUUUUUUAAGUCUGUCGUGAAAGCCCUGGGCUCAACCUGGGAACGGCGAUGGAUACUGGAAAGCUAGAGUGCGGUAGAGGGGUGUGGAAUUCCCGGUGUAGCGGUGAAAUGCGUAGAGAUCGGGAGGAACACCAGUGGCGAAGGCGGCACCCUGGACCAGCACUGACACUGAGGCACGAAAGCGUGGGGAGCAAACAGG